AAAACAUUUGUCAAAACUUGAAUACUAGUACAGUAACUAUUCUUUUACAUAUUACAUGUCCACCAAUUGCACAACAUAUACAAAAAUACUCUACGGCUACUUCGGCUGCUCAAGCUUCAAAGACACUUUUAUUCCUACACUCCUGCACCUAUGUUUAUGGGAAAGGGGUGAGCUUAUACAAGCUCAGUGAGUAAACUAACAAAAAACAUUUAAUUACAAUCUUCAUUUCAUACAUAUGCAAUGCA
rnacentral:misc_RNA from 1 species